rfam:Triticum aestivum genome assembly, contig: Triticum_aestivum_CS42_TGACv1_scaffold_129723_2BL
GCUGUACUCCCUCCGUCCGGAAAUACUUGUCAUCAAAAUGAAUAAAAGGCGGUGUAUCUAGACUUAUUUUAGUUCUAGAUACAUCCCUUUUUAUUCAUUUUGAUGACAAGUAUUUUCGGACGGAGGGAGUACAUU